rnacentral:tRNA from 1 species
NGGGUUGUAGUUAAAUAUAACAUUUGAUUUGCAUUCAAAAA